rnacentral:rRNA from 1 species
AGCUCUAAUAGCGUAUAUUAAAGUUGCUGUAGGUAAAAAGCUCGUAGUUGGAUUUCUGGUGGGAGGGAUCGGUCCAGCACUCUUUGUGGGAACUUGUAUCCUCUCCAACCAUCCUUGGGUGGAUCUUGUCUGGCAUUAAGUUGUCAGUCAGGGGAUGCCCAUCGUCUACUGUGAAAAAUUAGAGUGUUCAAAGCAGGCUUGUGCCAUUAAAUAUAUUAGCAUGGAAUAAUAAGAUAGGGCCCUGGUACUAUUUUGUUGGUUUACUUACCGAGGUAAUGAUUAAUAGGGACAGUUGGGGGUAUUUGUAUUCAGUAUUCAGUGGUGAAAUACUUAGACCUAUGAAAGACAAAAUACUGCAAAAGCAUUUACCAAGGAUGUUUUCA